rnacentral:rRNA from 1 species
CAGCAGCCGCGGGAAUACGUAGGGUGCAAGCGUUAAUCGGAAUUACUGGGCGUAAAGCGUGCGCAGGCGGUUUGUUAAGGCAGAUGUGAAAUCCCCGGGCUCAACCUGGGAACUGCAUUUGUGACUGGCAAGCUAGAGUGUGCCAGAGGGGGGUGGAAUUCCGCGUGUAGCAGUGAAAUGCGUAGAUAUGCGGAGGAACACCGAUGGCGGAGGCAGCCCCCUGGGCCAACACUGACGCUCAUGCACGAAAGCGUGGGGAGCAAACAGGAUUAGAUACCCCUGUAGUCCCUGUCUCUUAUAC